CACCGGCGGCUCGAGUGGUAACCGUUAUUAUUGGGUCUAAAGGGUCUGUAGCCGGCCGGAUAAGUCUCUUGGGAAAUCCAGCAGCUCAACUGUUGGGCUUUCAGGAGAUACUGUUCGGCUCGAGGCCGGGAGAGGUGAGAGGUACUUCAGGGGUAGGGGUGAAAUCUUGUAAUCCUUGAAGGACCACCAGUGGCGAAGGCGUCUCACCAGAACGGACCUGACGGCAAGGGACGAAAGCUAGGGGCACGAACCGGAUUAGAUACCCGGGUAGUCCUAGCCGUAAACGAUACUCGCUAGGUGUCGGCCACGGUGCGACCGUUGUCGGUGCCGUAGGGAAGCCGUGAAGCGAGCCACCUGGGAAGUACGGCCGCAAGGCUGAAACUUAAAGGAAUUGGCGGGGAGCACCACAACGGGUGGAGCUUGCGGUUU
rnacentral:rRNA from 1 species